rnacentral:rRNA from 1 species
AUUGAACGCUGGCGGCAGGCCUAACACAUGCAAGUCGAACGAGUGGCGGACGGGUGAGUAAUGUCUGGGAAACUGCCUGAUGGAGGGGGAUAACUACUGGAAACGGUAGCUAAUACCGCAUACCAUCAGAUGUGCCCAGAUGGGAGUUGCGAGUUGGUGGGGUAACGGCUCACCCAGGCGACGCUCCCUAGCUGGUCUGAUAGGAUGAACAGCCACACGGGAACUGAGACACGGUCCAGACUCCUACGGGAGGCCGCAGUUGGGAAUAUUGCACAAUGGGCGCAAGCCUGAUGCAGCCAUGCCGCGGGUAUUAAGAAGGCCUUCGGGUUGUAAAGUACUUUCAGCGGGGAGGCGUUACCCGCAGAAGAAGCACCGGCUAACUCCGUGCCAGCAGCCGCGGUAAUAC